rnacentral:rRNA from 1 species
UUUAAGCUUCCUACGGGAGGCUGCAGUGGGGAAUAUUGGACAAUGGGCGCAAGCCUGAUCCAGCCAUGCCGCGUGUGUGAAGAAGGCCUUAUGGUUGUAAAGCACUUUAAGCGAGGAGGAGGCUACUUUAGUUAAUACCUAGAGAUAGUGGACGUUACUCGCAGAAUAAGCACCGGCUAACUCUGUGCCAGCAGCCGCGGUAAUACAGAGGGUGCAAGCGUUAAUCGGAUUUACUGGGCGUAAAGCGCGCGUAGGCGGCUAAUUAAGUCAAAUGUGAAAUCCCCGAGCUUAACUUGGGAAUUGCAUUCGAUACUGGUUAGCUAGAGUGUGGGAGAGGAUGGUAGAAUUCCAGGUGUAGCGGUGAAAUGCGUAGAGAUCUGGAGGAAUACCGAUGGCGAAGGCAGCCAUCUGGCCUAACACUGACGCUGAGGUGCGAAAGCAUGGGGAGCAAACAGGAUUAGAUACCCUUGUAGUCGAAUUCUU